UACGAAGGGGGCGAGCGUUGUUCGGAAUUACUGGGCGUAAAGGGCGCGUAGGCGGCCGAGCAAGUUAGAUGUGAAAGUCCUGGGCUUAACCUGGGGACUGCAUUUGAUACUGCUUGGCUUGAAUUCGGGAGAGGAUAGCGGAAUUCCCAGUGUAGAGGUGAAAUUCGUAGAUAUUGGGAAGGACACCGGUGGCGAAGGCGGCUAUCUGGACCGACAUUGACGCUGAGGCGCGAAAGCGUGGGGAGCAAACAGG
rnacentral:rRNA from 1 species